rnacentral:rRNA from 1 species
GACGAACGCUGGCGGCGUGCUUAACACAUGCCAGUCGAACGGAAAGGCCCUGCUUUUGUUGGGUGCUCGAGUGGCGAACGGGUGAGUAACACGUGAGUAACCUGCCCUGGACUUUGGGAUAACUUCAGGAAACUGUGGCUAAUACCGGAUAGGAGCUCCUGCUGCAUGGUGGGGGUUGGAACGUUUCGGCGGUUGGGGAUGGACUCGCGGCUUAUCAGCUUGUUGGUGGGGUAGUGGCUUACCAAGGGUUUGACGGGUAGUCGGCCUGAGAGGGUGACCGGCCACAUUGGGACUGAGGUACGGCCCAGACUGCUACGGGAGGCAGCAGUGGGGAAUAUUGCACAAUGGGCGGAAGCCUGAUGCAGCAACGCCGCGUGCGUGAUGACGGCCUUCGGGUUGUAAACCGCUUUCGCCUGUGACGAAGCGUGAGUGACGGUAAUGGGUAAAGAAGCACCGGCUAACUACGUG